UGGGGAAUAUUGCACAAUGGGCGAAAGCCUGAUGCAGCGACGCCGCGUGAGGGAUGAAGGCCUUCGGGUUGUAAACCUCUUUCAGCAGGGAAGAAGCGCAAGCGACGGUACCUGCAGAAGAAGCGCCGGCUAACUACGUGCCAGCAGCCGCGGUAAUACGUAGGGCGCAAGCGUUGUCCGGAAUUAUUGGGCGUAAAGAGCUCGUAGGCGGUUUGUCGCGUCUGGUGUGAAAACUCGAGGCUCAACCUCGAGCUUGCAUCGGGUACGGGCAGACUAGAGUGCGGUAGGGGAGACUGGAAUUCCUGGUGUAGCGGUGGAAUGCGCAGAUAUCAGGAGGAACACCGAUGGCGAAGGCAGGUCUCUGGGCCGCAACUGACGCUGAGGAGCGAAAGCAUGGGGAGCGAACA
rnacentral:rRNA from 1 species